rnacentral:rRNA from 1 species
ACAAUGGGGAAGGGACUAGCGUGCGAGUUGUGCGCCUUCGAGCCAUGGUGGAGGCGCAGCAUACGGCUCAGUAACACGUGGCUAAUCUACCCUUGGGACGGGAACAACCCCGGGAAACUGGGGCUAAUUCCCGAUGGGUGAGGAGGCCUGGAAUGGUUCCUCGCCGAAAGGGCUCUGAAACCAUGCUUUUCAGCGUUGCCCAAGGAUGGGCCGCGGCCGAUCAGGUUGUUGGUGGGGUAAUGGCUCACCAAGCCUUUGACCGGUACGGGCCGUGAAAGCGGGAGCCCGGAGAUGGGCACUGAGACAAGGGCCCAGGCCCUACGGGGUGCAGCAGGCGCGAAAACUCCGCAAUGCGCGAAAGCGUGACGGGGCUAUCCCGAGUGCCGUCCGCUGAGGAUGGCUUUUCCACGGUGUAAGGAGCCGUGGGAAUAAGGAGAGGGCAAGUCUGGUGUCAGCCGCCGCGGUAAAACCAGCUCUCCGGGUGGUAGGGAUGAUUAUUGGGCCUAAAGCGUCCGUAGCCGGCCUAACAAGUCUCUCGUUAAAUCCAACGAUUCAAUCGCUGGACUGCGGGAGAUACUGUCAGGCUAGGAGGCGGGAAAGGCCGACGGUACUCUUGGGGUAGGGGUGAAAUCCUAUAAUCCCAGGAGGACCACCAGUGGCGAAGGCUGUCGGCUGGCACGCGCUCGACGGUGAGGGACGAAAGCUGGGGGAGCGAACCGGAUUAGAUACCCGGGUAGUCCCAGCUGUAAACGAUGCGGGCUAGGUGUUGGGGUGGCUACGUGCCACUUCAGUGCCGCAGGGAAGCCAUUAAGCCCGCCGCCUGGGGGAGUACGGCCGCAAGGCUGAAACUUAAAGGAAUUGGCGGGGGAGCACCACAAGGUGUGAAGCUUGCGGUUUAAUUGGAUUCAACGCCGGG